rnacentral:rRNA from 1 species
GGGCCCGCACAAGCGGUGGAGCAUGUGGUUUAAUUCGAUGCAACGCGAAGAACCUUACCUACUCUUGACAUCCAGAGAAGCCAGUAGAGAUACAGGUGUGCCUUCGGGAGCUCUGAGACAGGUGCUGCAUGGCUGUCGUCAGCUCGUGUUGUGAAAUGUUGGUUAAGUCCCGCAACGAGCGCAACCCUUAUCCUUGUUUGCCAGCACUUCGGGUGGGAACUCCAGGGAGACUGCCGGUGAUAAACCGGAGGAAGGUGGGGACGACGUCAAGUCAUCAUGGCCCUUACGAGUAGGGCUACACACGUGCUACAAUGGCGCAUACAGAGGGCAGCCAACUUGCGAAAGUGAG